UCUCAUAGGUUGACAGCACGUACAGAUGACCUACUCAUAGGUUGACAGCACAUACAGAUGACCUACUCAUAGGUUGACAGCACGUACAGAUGACCUACUCAUAGCUUGACAGCACGUACAGAUGACCUACUCAUAGGUUGACAGCACGUACAGAUGACCUACUCAUAGGUUGACAGCACGUACAGAUGACCUACUCAUAGGUUGACAGCACGUACAGAUGACCUACUCAUAGGUUGACAGCACGUACAGAUGACCUACUCAUAGGUUGACAGCACGUACAGAUGACCUACUCAUAGCUUGACAGCACGUACAGAUGACCUACUCAUAGCUUGACAGCACGUACAGAUGACCUACUCAUAGCUUGACAGCACGUACAGAUGACCUACUCAUAGCUUGACAGCACGUACAGAUGACCUACUCAUAGCUUGACAGCACGUACAGAUGACCUACUCAUAGCUUGACAGCACGUACAGAUGACCUACUCAUAGCUUGACAGCA